rnacentral:rRNA from 1 species
GAUGAACGCUGGCGGCGUGCCUAAUACAUGCAAGUCGAGCGAACGGACGAGAAGCUUGCUUUUCUGAUGUUAGCGGCGGACGGGUGAGUAACACGUGGAUAACCUACCUAUAAGACUGGGAUAACUUCGGGAAACCGGAGCUAAUACCGGAUAAUAUUUUGAACCGCAUGGUUCAAAAGUGAAAGACGGUCUUGCUGUCACUUAUAGAUGGAUCCGCGCUGCAUUAGCUAGUUGGUAAGGUAACGGCUUACCAAGGCAACGAUGCAUAGCCGACCUGAGAGGGUGAUCGGCCACACUGUAACUGAGACACGGUCCAGACUCCUACGGGAGGCAGCAGUAGGGAAUCUUCCGCAAUGGGCGAAAGCCUGACGGAGCAACGCCGCGUGAGUGAUGAAGGUCUUCGGAUCGUAAAACUCUGUUAUUAGGGAAGAACAUAUGUGUAAGUAACUGUGCACAUCUUGACGGUACCUAAUCAGAAAGCCACGGCUAACUACGUG